CACCGGUCAAAGCUGAAGGAGUUAAGGGGCAGAGGGGUUAGGAAAGAGACCCAGAUGGGGAAGAUGAAACAGAUCAAUGGAUCAUCCAGCUUCAAACAAAACUGGUGGUAAAAAUGGUAUUCCACGAUUGAAGGACAUUUGGGUGAGUAUCCCUUGCUUGGCUAGGGUGAAAAUCUCUAUUGUGUUCCAUCUGCAACUCAUUGUGCUAAGACUCUUUCAGGUUGCGGUGACAGAGUUGUCAGAAGGGGCCGUAUUCUGUUUCACCACAAUGAGGCUCACCUGCAGGUAGGAGAAGACAUCUUCUUUUCUUCCAGCUCUUCUUUCCUGGACUGUGCUGCUUUAGGUAAGUUCACAUUCCACCACUCAGUUGUCUUUUUUCAAGACAUUGUUUUUUGUGUUGGUCUCUCCUUUUUCUCAUUUUCUUUUCUGCUGGUCUCUUCACGGGUCUCUCCAAAGAUCCUACAACACUGAGAUGAAGCCAGCUCUUUCACAAGAGUCACAGAAAGCUGUGAUUAAUGGCUCAUCCAGCUUUAAAUAAAAUGGCGGUCAAAAUGGUAUUCCGUGACUGAAGGACAUUUAGGUGAGUAUCCCUUGCUUGGCCAGGGAGGAAAUCUCUAUUGCGUUCUGUCUGCAACUCAUUGGGCUAAGACUCUUUCAGGUUGGGGUGACUGAGUCAUCAGAAGAGGCCCUAUUCCGUGUCAUCACGAUGAGGCUCACCUGCAGGUAGGAGAACACUUCUUCUUUUGUUCCAGCCCUUCUUUUGUUCCGGCUCGUCUUUCCUUCAGGUUUCUCAGAGUAUCCCUUGCAUGGCUAGGGGGAAAUCUUCAUUGUGUUCCGUCUGCAACUCAUUGGGCUAAGACUUUUUCAGGUUGCGGUGACAGAGUUGUCAGAAGAGGCCCUAUUCCGUGUCAUUACGAUGAGGCUCACCUGCAGGUAGGAGAAGACUUCUUCUUUUCUUCCAGCUCUUCUUUCCUUCAGGCUUCGCAGAGUUCAGUAUACCUGAAGUGAGAGUUGCCUACAUUUGGACUGUGCUGCUUUAGGUAAGUUCACAUUCCAUCACCCAGUUGUCUUUUUCAAGACAAUGUUUUUUUGUAUUGGUCACUUCUUUUUCCUAUUUUCCUUUUUCUCUUCACAGGUCUAUCCAAAGAGCUCUUCUUAACAUCUUAAGGUUUUCUUUUUCCUGAGAGAACAUUUGCAGAAUGUUCUCUCAGGUUUUGCUUUUCCCCUUGUUGCAUUGCUCAAAAAAAAAGCAAAAGACACUGGUGGUCGGCGCUCCUGGUUCCCAGGACGGGGUUCAAAUCCCUGCGGUGUCCAUGCUUACUUCCAAUGCAACUGCUAUCUCUCUCUAUCUCUCUAUCCCUCUCUAUCUCUCUCUGUCUAUCCCUAUCUAUCUCUUUCUGUCUCUCUAUCCCACACUGCCCAAAUAACAAUUGGCUCCCUUUCUCUUAAGUAUUAGCAUGGGAGGGUGGUGACUUCAGUGACUAGCAUGGAGCUAUUAUAAUGAUUUGUGUUUUUAACUACUUCCCCUCUCUUUUACCAGCAUAGACAAUGAGGCCUAUGAGGCACCGGCAUAUGAGGAGGUGGUGACUACUGGCUACUUAUUGGGACCAACCAUCUGGACCAUCACCUCCAGUCCAGGGACAACCCCAGUGGAACCCCCUCCGUACAGCGUGGUCAUUGAGCCUCCUGCCCACGGAGAGAUUGUGGUCGAAGCAGUGGCACCAGGCACACGCCGUGCCUCAGAGGCAGAUCUACAGUCCAGGUUCCGCCUCAGGUUGCUCAUGCCACCAAAACUGCAGCGAUUUGUCUCGGAUACCCACGAACUCAAAGGUAUUGAAGAGCGGG